rnacentral:rRNA from 1 species
CAAAGUAGGCAAAUCCGCUUUGAUAAUGCUGGGAUGUGAUGGGGAGCGAAAUUUAGUAGCGAAGUAGCUGAUUUCACACUGUCAAGAAAAGUCUCUAUCGAGGUUAAAGGUACCCGUACCGAAAACCGACACAGGUGGGUGAGGAGAGUAUCCUAAGGCCAGCGAGAGAACUGUUGUUAAGGAACUCGGCAAAAUGACCCCGUAACUUAGGGAUAAGGGGUGCCACCAUCAGGUGGCCGCAGAGAAUAGGCCCAAGCGACUGUUUACCAAAAACAUAGGUUUCUGCUAAGUCGCAAGACGAUGUAUAGG